UUAAGCGACUAAGCGUACACGGUGGAUGCCCUGGCAGUCAGAGGCGAUGAAGGACGUGCUAAUCUGCGAUAAGCGUCGGUGAGGUGAUAUGAACUGUUAUAACCGGCGAUUUCCGAAUGGGGAAACCCAGUGUGUUUCGACACACUAUCAUUAACUGAAUCCAUAGGUUAAUGAGGCGAACCGGGGGAACUGAAACAUCUAAGUACCCCGAGGAAAAGAAAUCAACCGAGAUUCCCCCAGUAGCGGCGAGCGAACGGGGAGGAGCCCAGAGCCUGAAUCAGUGUGUGUGUUAGUGGAAGCGUCUGGAAAGGCGCGCGAUACAGGGUGACAGCCCCGUACACAAAAAUGCACAUAUUGUGAGCUCGAUGAGUAGGGCGGGACACGUGGUAUCCUGUCUGAAUAUGGGGGGACCAUCCUCCAAGGCUAAAUACUCCUGACUGACCGAUAGUGAACCAGUACCGUGAGGGAAAGGCGAAAAGAACCCCGGCGAGGGGAGUGAAAAAGAACCUGAAACCGUGUACGUACAAGCAGUGGGAGCCUCUUUAUGGGGUGACUGCGUACCUUUUGUAUAAUGGGUCAGCGACUUAUAUUCUGUAGCAAGGUUAACCGAAUAGGGGAGCCGAAGGGAAACCGAGUCUUAACUGGGCGUUAAGUUGCAGGGUAUAGACCCGAAACCCGGUGAUCUAGCCAUGGGCAGGUUGAAGGUUGGGUAACACUAACUGGAGGACCGAACCGACUAAUGUUGAAAAAUUAGCGGAUGACUUGUGGCUGGGGGUGAAAGGCCAAUCAAACCGGGAGAUAGCUGGUUCUCCCCGAAAGCUAUUUAGGUAGCGCCUCGUGAAUUCAUCUCCGGGGGUAGAGCACUGUUUCGGCAAGGGGGUCAUCCCGACUUACCAACCCGAUGCAAACUGCGAAUACCGGAGAAUGUUAUCACGGGAGACACACGGCGGGUGCUAACGUCCGUCGUGAAGAGGGAAACAACCCAGACCGCCAGCUAAGGUCCCAAAGUCAUGGUUAAGUGGGAAACGAUGUGGGAAGGCCCAGACAGCCAGGAUGUUGGCUUAGAAGCAGCCAUCAUUUAAAGAAAGCGUAAUAGCUCACUGGUCGAGUCGGCCUGCGCGGAAGAUGUAACGGGGCUAAACCAUGCACCGAAGCUGCGGCAGCGACACUAUGUGUUGUUGGGUAGGGGAGCGUUCUGUAAGCCUGUGAAGGUGGCCUGUGAGGGUUGCUGGAGGUAUCAGAAGUGCGAAUGCUGACAUAAGUAACGAUAAAGCGGGUGAAAAGCCCGCUCGCCGGAAGACCAAGGGUUCCUGUCCAACGUUAAUCGGGGCAGGGUGAGUCGACCCCUAAGGCGAGGCCGAAAGGCGUAGUCGAUGGGAAACAGGUUAAUAUUCCUGUACUUGGUGUUACUGCGAAGGGGGGACGGAGAAGGCUAUGUUGGCCGGGCGACGGUUGUCCCGGUUUAAGCGUGUAGGCUGGUUUUCCAGGCAAAUCCGGAAAACCAAGGCUGAGGCGUGAUGACGAGGCACUACGGUGCUGAAGCGACAAAUGCCCUGCUUCCAGGAAAAGCCUCUAAGCAUCAGGUAACAUCAAAUCGUACCCCAAACCGACACAGGUGGUCAGGUAGAGAAUACCAAGGCGCUUGAGAGAACUCGGGUGAAGGAACUAGGCAAAAUGGUGCCGUAACUUCGGGAGAAGGCACGCUGAUAUGUAGGUGAAGCGACUUGCUCGUGGAGCUGAAAUCAGUCGAAGAUACCAGCUGGCUGCAACUGUUUAUUAAAAACACAGCACUGUGCAAACACGAAAGUGGACGUAUACGGUGUGACGCCUGCCCGGUGCCGGAAGGUUAAUUGAUGGGGUUAGCGGUAACGCGAAGCUCUUGAUCGAAGCCCCGGUAAACGGCGGCCGUAACUAUAACGGUCCUAAGGUAGCGAAAUUCCUUGUCGGGUAAGUUCCGACCUGCACGAAUGGCGUAAUGAUGGCCAGGCUGUCUCCACCCGAGACUCAGUGAAAUUGAACUCGCUGUGAAGAUGCAGUGUACCCGCGGCAAGACGGAAAGACCCCGUGAACCUUUACUAUAGCUUGACACUGAACAUUGAGCCUUGAUGUGUAGGAUAGGUGGGAGGCUUUGAAGUGUGGACGCCAGUCUGCAUGGAGCCGACCUUGAAAUACCACCCUUUAAUGUUUGAUGUUCUAACGUUGGCCCGUAAUCCGGGUUGCGGACAGUGUCUGGUGGGUAGUUUGACUGGGGCGGUCUCCUCCUAAAGAGUAACGGAGGAGCACGAAGGUUGGCUAAUCCUGGUCGGACAUCAGGAGGUUAGUGCAAUGGCAUAAGCCAGCUUGACUGCGAGCGUGACGGCGCGAGCAGGUGCGAAAGCAGGUCAUAGUGAUCCGGUGGUUCUGAAUGGAAGGGCCAUCGCUCAACGGAUAAAAGGUACUCCGGGGAUAACAGGCUGAUACCGCCCAAGAGUUCAUAUCGACGGCGGUGUUUGGCACCUCGAUGUCGGCUCAUCACAUCCUGGGGCUGAAGUAGGUCCCAAGGGUAUGGCUGUUCGCCAUUUAAAGUGGUACGCGAGCUGGGUUUAGAACGUCGUGAGACAGUUCGGUCCCUAUCUGCCGUGGGCGCUGGAGAACUGAGGGGGGCUGCUCCUAGUACGAGAGGACCGGAGUGGACGCAUCACUGGUGUUCGGGUUGUCAUGCCAAUGGCACUGCCCGGUAGCUAAAUGCGGAAGAGAUAAGUGCUGAAAGCAUCUAAGCACGAAACUUGCCCCGAGAUGAGUUCUCCCUGAGACUUAGAGUCUCCUGAAGGAACGUUGAAGACGACGACGUUGAUAGGCCGGGUGUGUAAGCGCAGCGAUGCGUUGAGCUAACCGGUACUAAUGAACCGUGAGGCUUAACCUU
rnacentral:rRNA from 2 species